GCUUCAAAUUGGAUGGCACUGCAGCUGGAGGCUUUGUUCAGAAUUGAUCCUGGGGAGCUACGAACCCAAAGUUUCACAGUAGGAAGGGGGAAAAAAGAAAAGAAAACAUUUUUCCUAAUGUAACAAUGCGAAUGCUAGAAAAUGACAAGACUGAUCGGUUUUAAACCAUUCUGAAGACUGACUGAGCGUGGAAGUUGCUCAACAAAAAAAGGAACGGGUAUAUUGACAGAGUCUUGCUCUAUUGCCCAGGCUGCAACUGGUGUGAUCUCGGCUCACUACAACCUCUGCCUCCUGGGUUCAAGCGAUUCUCCUGCCUCAAGCUCCCAAGUAGCUGGGAUUACAAGCAUGCACCACCAUGCCUGGCUAAUUUUUGUAUUUUUAGUGGAGACGGGGUUUCGCCACAUUGGCCAGGGUGGUCUUGAACUCCUGACCUCAAGUGAUCCACCUGCCUUGGCCUCCCAAAGUGCUGGGAUUAUAAGCAUGAGCCACUGCACCCAGCCUUAUACUGAACUUUCAAUGGGUUCAAUUCCACUAGGAGCAUAAAGGCCACUGCAUAUGAGUUGUGGAAAGAAGAGAUUAGAAGAAGGAAGAACUUGAGAUGAGUUCCUCCCUUCAACAUUCUGUCUCCUCCUACCUAGCAUCUUCUUUCUUUUAGUCUUUCUAGAAUGUCCAUCUGUUUUUGGCCAUUGCGGAGAGAGAAGCUGAGCUUUAAAGGAGUAGGAGCUUCAAAGGCGUAGGAGCUUCAAAAUUCUUGUUUCUUCAUGUUUGAUCACCCUUCUAAACCUGUCUUCUGUUCCUUCUGCUAUUCUUUUUUCUUAGAGCAUAGGAAAGGGGAGCUUUUAAAUUAAUACUUAAAGCAUGGAAAAAAAGAACUUGAGAAGAAAGUAAAACAAGGGAGAUGAGGCUAGUAAAGUAAGGAAAAUGAAGAGGAAGAGGAGGAAGGGUUAGCUUCUAAAUUCCAAGUCAAAUUGAUAUGGAACAGGCAAGCCGCUUGUCUUACUUAAACUUCAGAAAAGGAUCUGCUGAAACUUGAUAGAAAUGGAAAGGGAAAUCCUUGGGGUGGGGAACCUCCAAACAUUAGUAAUGAUAUUGAACAACUCAAAGUAUUGAGGAAAUCUGCAGGCUACAUGCCUGAAGAUUACCCAUGCAGAUAGACCAAAAGGAUUAGAAUUAUCUGUUGAUAUUAGUAAUAUUUAUUGACAUCUAGCUAGUAUUGGUAAUUUUAAGUUUUAGAUUAAUUUCUUUGGUAAUAGCUAUGAUAUAUUUUAUAGACAAGAAUUAUAUCUAUAGGCUUGCUAUCAUAGGCUCUUUUAAUCAGCAUUAAUUUAGUCUACUGAUUUUUAGCACAU
rnacentral:lncRNA from 1 species